GAAAGUGAAGGUGAUCUGGCUGGGCCCUGAUCAGCAGCACUGAUUCAGUGUUGAUUCAGUUGAUCUGACUGAGCAGGUGAGUUCCCCUUUCUUCCCUCAUUCCUCUUGAGGCCUUCAUACUUGGGCAAAGAAAGUGACCUUCCUGGGUAGAUGAAGAUUGUUCUUAAGGUAAGAAU
rnacentral:snRNA from 1 species